rnacentral:rRNA from 1 species
CUCGGGAGUUGGUUAACCUCACUAUUUAGAGGAAGGUGAAGUCGUAACAAGGUCUCCGUAGGUGAACCUGCAGAAGGAUAAA